rnacentral:rRNA from 1 species
CGGGGAUUGUACACACCGCCCGUCAAGUCACGAAAGUCGGCAACACCCGAAGUCAGUGGCCCAACCGCAAGGAGGGAGCUGCCUAAGAUGGGGUUGGUAAUUGGGACU